rnacentral:rRNA from 1 species
GACGAACGCUGGCGGCGUGCCUAAUACAUGCAAGUAGAACGCUGAAGGAGGAGCUUGCUUCUCUGGAUGAGUUGCGAACGGGUGAGUAACGCGUAGGUAACCUGCCUGGUAGCGGGGGGUAACUAUUGGAAACGAUAGCUAAUACCGCAUAAGAGUAGAUGUUGCAUGACAUUUGCUUAAAAGGUGCAAUUGCAUCACUACCAGAUGGACCUGCGUUGUAUUAGCUAGUUGGUGGGGUAACGGCUCACCAAGGCGACGAUACAUAGCCGACCUGAGAGGGUGAUCCGCCACACUGGGACUGGGACACGGCCCAGACUCCCAAGGGAGGGAGCAGUAGGGGAUCCUCGGCAAUGGACGGAAGUCUGACCGAGCAAAGCCGGGUGAGUGAAGAAGGGUUUCGGAUCGUAAAGCUCUGUUGUAAGAGAAGAACGAGUGUGAGAGUGGAAAGUUCACACUGUGACGGUAUCUUACCAGAAAGGGACGGCUAACUACGUG